rnacentral:rRNA from 1 species
GGUUUUGUUUUUAUGCUAUGUGAAGUGCUCGGUGUUUGGCGAUGCUUAAGCCGUUGAGGCUGGUUUUGAUUCGGUGGUUGUUGUAAAACUCGAUGUAUGUGGCGAUAGCGUUUUCGAGUUCUUGUGUGGUUCGCCAUUUUUUGCCGUAGUACAUUUCGUUUUUCAUCCGACCGAAGAAGCCUUCGCAUGCCGCGUUAUCAGGGGUACAACCUUUCUUCGACAUUGAUCGAACGAUCUGGUAUGCCGAAGUCAGUUGUUGCCAGGUUUUUCCGCGGUAGUGCGCGCCUCGGUCUGAGUGGAUGAUUAAAGACCCAUCUGCUGUAGGCCGUUCUGCGGUGAUUGCUGCAUGCAGUGUUUCUUCUGCUAGUUCCAUCGUGGGGUGAGUGCUUGUUUUUGCUGCUACGACCUUGCCGUCAAAACAGUCGAUGAUGGCAGAUAGGUAGACACGACCUUCGUUAGCUGUAAACACACUGAUAUCGGUAAGCCACAACCGGUUUGGACGAUCAGCGUGAAACUUACGGUUAACCAAGUUAGGCGGGGCUGGUGAGAUUUCUCCUUGAUAACUGGAAUACUUCCACUUACGCUUCGGAAACCGCGGGAUGAUCCCUUCUUCACGCAUCAGUCGUCUCACGACUUUUUCACUCAUGAUGAUCCCUCGAUGACGCAACUCCCACCAGAUACGCCUGUACCCGUAAGUGUUAUGCGACUGGUCACUGAUCUGAUGAAGCAGCUUGCGAACAUGAGCAUGCUUAUCAGGCAUACGGUGCUGCUGUACGUGGUAAUAAAAGCUUGAUGAUGCAAGACCAAUCACAGCCAGCAGUAAUGCAAGAGGAUACUGAGUACGUAAAGCGUCAACCACACAGGUCUUAGAACUAUUGCUCAGUUGACCGGGGAUGACGCUGUCGUCUUUUUUUAUAAGUUCCAGCUCCUCUUCCAACACAGCUUUCUCUACUAACAGCCGCGCCAUCUGCUUCUUCAGCUCGGCCGGAUCAUCAGGCAAAGACUUUUCAAAUGAGGCACGAGUCGGUGUGCGAGCACGUUGUGUACGUUCUUUUUUAGACAUCAACCCCCAUUCUCCCUCUUCUCGAUACAGUUGCACCCAGGAAUACACAUUCGACCGUGAACGCACACCACACCGGGCAACAAUCUC